UGGUAUAGGUUGGGAGGAUGUCUGGUCCACUGCUGCUCAACAAUAACCUCCUCGUAGGGAAGGACAUGAUGAGGAUGAGCAUCAGUUGUGUAGUCUGGAAUGGUCGCAGGGGGUUCACAAUAAGAUGUGAUACUCUAACGAACCAUCUCAUGUACCCCCUAGAAUGAGCCCACAACUCAUUAUCCAGAACCAGAUCACCCCUCUCCUGCUGGCUGAGGACAUGUAGAGCAAACUCCAUGGAGGCCAUAGCCACGUCCCUUGACGCAAGAGGCCCAAUGUCU
rnacentral:lncRNA from 1 species